AUUGAACGCUGGCGGCAGGCUUAACACAUGCAAGUCGAGCGGGGGAAGGUAGCUUGCUACCGGACCUAGCGGCGGACGGGUGAGUAAUGCUUAGGAAUCUGCCUAUUAGGGGGGGACAACAUCUCGAAAGGGAUGCUAAUACCGCAUACGUGCUACGGGAGAAAGCAGGGGAGCUUCGGACCUUGCGCUCACCAAUGAGCCUGAGUCGGAUUAGCUAGUUGGUGGGGUAAAGGCCUACCAAGGCGACGCUAUGUAGCGGGUCUGAGAGGAUGAUCCGCCACACUGGGACUGAGACACGGCCGAGACUCCUACGAGAGGAAGCAGUGGGGAAUAUUGGACAAUGGGGGGAACCCUGAUCCAGCCAUGCCGCGUGUGUGAAGAAGGCCUUAUGGUUGUAAAGCACUUUAAGCGAGGAGGAGGCUACUUUGGUUAAUACCUAGAGAUAGUGGACGUUACUCGCAGAAUAAGCACCGGCUAACUCUGUGCCAGCCGCCGCAGUAA
rnacentral:rRNA from 1 species